AUCCAACUGACGAGUCCCAGAUAGGGUGAAACAUGCGUCCUGGGU
rfam:Schistosoma curassoni strain Dakar, Senegal genome assembly, scaffold: SCTD_contig0011527